AUAAAACUUACAGGAGUGAGUUUCGCACUUCUGGGUCUAACUUUCGGUUUUAUUUUCGAGACACUUCUUCAAAAUUCUAAAUUAUUAACUACAGAAUUUAUAAACAUUCCAGUUAGAAAUCACAACUUAUACACAAAAAUAAAACAGACGAAAUGGAGUCGUCUCAAUAAUAAGAAUACAUUAAUAAGUCAGUGAAUAUUAGAUGUGACAGUACUGAAAAAAUUGUGACCAUAUCAAGAAGGUGUUAGGAACUUUUGAAUAAGUUAGAUCUGAUCAAUAUGUAAGUAAAGAAUAAAAAACUAAUCAAAAUCCAAUUGACCACUAAAAGACUUUCGAAGAAUUUAUUAAAUAAAAACUAAUGAAAUUCCAAUUGACCAGUAGAAGACUUCCGAAUAAUUUAUUAAAUAAUCUUUAUUAAAAAUAUGUAAUUGUGCCUAAUGAGGGAGGUCCAAGUUACCUUCCGAUGGGAAAAGUGCCCAAAAGCAAGACUAAAGAAAAGCAAGAGAAUAUAGGAAACAAGGAGAAAAUAGAAAAUAAUCAUUGAAACUUUUUCUAAUAUAAAUUUUAUUGAAAACCCCAUUAUUCAAAAAUUGUAGACCUCGUCCCCAGUUACUCAGUAACUUCAAGAUCUUCUGGUCAGCUAUGUGAAUCACGAUAAGAAGUCUUCCAGAGUGAGCGAAAGAAGUUUGCUUAGAAUGUUUUUGUUCCCAUAAUACCAUACUCUAUCCUAAGUGACCUUCUGGCUUACUGUGUGAAUGUGAAAUGCUUGGUUAGCUCGAUUAUUGUGGGCGAAAGGAGUAUGCUUGGAGCUGUCAAUGCAUUAAUUUCUAAUUGGUUUCAAGACAAGUUUCUAGUUCGAAGUGCAAAAAGUCGUGGAUUCUACUACCGCAGACGAAAGAAGUGUGCUUGAAAUGCUGAACAUGUGGUAUGAUCAUCAUAAUUUUAUUAAUGGAU